UACAGAGGUCUCAAGCGUUGUUCGGAUUCAUUGGGCGUAAAGGGUGUGUAGGUGGCGCCGUUAGUCGGGUGUGAAAUUUCGGAGCUUAACUCCGAAACUGCAUUCGAUACUGCGGUGCUUGAGGACUGGAGAGGAGGCUGGAAUUCAUGGUGUAGCAGUGAAAUGCGUAGAGAUCAUGAGGAAGACCAGUGGCGAAGGCGGGUCUCUGGACAGUUCCUGACACUGAGACACGAAGGCCAGGGGAGCAAACGGG
rnacentral:rRNA from 1 species